AUCCACUUCUAACCACAAUUAACAGUUCAUGACAGAGUAAAUCUAUAAACAGAAGAAAACAUGUCUACUUCGCAUUAUAAUAUAACAUCAGUAGAUUAGGUUUUUGCUCCAUUUUUCCUAAUUACUCAUAAACCAUCAUUAAAGUCCUAACUG